GGAGCGGCCGGGGCCCGGUGGCCCGACUCGUCUUCAAAACGAGGGGGGAGGGGUGCAUCCCCGCCCGGUAGGUUCGACUCCUACGCCGCUCCG
rnacentral:tRNA from 1 species